UGGGGAAUAUUGGACAAUGGGCGCAAGCCUGAUCCAGCAAUGCCGCGUGUGUGAAGAAGGCCUUCGGGUUGUAAAGCACUUUUAUCAGGAGCGAAACGCUGUCGGCUAAUACCCGGCGGAACUGACGGUACCUGAGGAAUAAGCACCGGCUAACUUCGUGCCAGCAGCCGCGGUAAUACGAAGGGUGCAAGCGUUAAUCGGAAUUACUGGGCGUAAAGCGUGCGUAGGCGGUUUCUUAAGUCUGCUGUGAAAUCCCCGGGCUCAACCUGGGAAUGGCAGUGGAUACUGGGAGGCUAGAGUGUGUCAGAGGGUGGUGGAAUUCCCGGUGUAGCGGUGAAAUGCGUAGAGAUCGGGAGGAACAUCAGUGGCGAAGGCGGCCACCUGGGACAACACUGACGCUGAGGCACGAAAGCGUGGGGAGCAAACAGGAUUAGAUACCCUGGUAGUCCACGCCCUAAAGCGAUGCGAACUGGAUGUUGGUCUCAACUCGGAGAUCAGUGUCGAAGCUAACGCGUUAAGUUCGCCGCCCUGGGGAGUACGGUCGCAAGACUGAAACUUAAAUGAAUUGACGGGGUCAUAGCUGUUUCCUG
rnacentral:rRNA from 1 species